UACGGGGGGAGCAAGCGUUGUUCGGAUUUACUGGGCGUAAAGGGCGCGUAGGCGGCCAGCACAAGUCAGUUGUGAAAUCUCCGGGCUUAACUCGGAAAGGUCAACUGAUACUGUGCGGCUAGAGUGCAGAAGGGGCAACUGGAAUUCUCGGUGUAGCGGUGAAAUGCGUAGAUAUCGGGAGGAAUACCUAUGGCGAAAGCAGGCUACUGGACCGUCACUGACUCUGAUCUGCGAAAGCUAGGGGAGCAAACAGG
rnacentral:rRNA from 1 species